rnacentral:rRNA from 1 species
UACGUAGGGUGCGAGCGUUGUCCGGAUUUAUUGGGCGUAAAGCGCACGUAGGCGGCAUUGCAAGUCGGAUGUGAAAUCUUAUGGCUUAACCAUAAGAGUGCAUCCGAAACUGCAGUGCUUGAGUACUUAAGAGGAUCGCGGAAUUCCCGGUGUAGAGGUGAAAUUCGUAGAUAUCGGGAGGAACACCAGUGGCGAAGGCGGCGAUCUGGGGAAGAUACUGACGCUGAGGUGCGAAAGCGUGGGGAGCAAACAGG